rnacentral:rRNA from 1 species
CAGCAAGUGGCGAACGGGUGAGUAAUACAUCGGAACAUGUCCAGUAGUGGGGGAUAGCCCGGCGAAAGCCGGAUUAAUACCGCAUACGAUCUUUGGAUGAAAGCGGGGGAUCGCAAGACCUCGCGCUAUUGGGGUGGCCGAUGGCGGAUUAGCUAGUUGGUGGGGUAAAGGCCCACCAAGGCGACGAUCCGUAGCUGGUCUGAGAGGACGACCAGCCACACUGGGACUGAGACACGGCCCAGACUCCUACGGGAGGCAGCAGUGGGGAAUUUUGGACAAUGGGCGAAAGCCUGAUCCAGCAAUGCCGCGUGUGUGAAGAAGGCCUUCGGGUUGUAAAGCACUUUUGUCCGGAAAGAAAUCCUGAUGGCUAAUAUCCGUCGGGGAUGACGGUACCGGAAGAAUAAGCACCGGCUAACUACGUGCCAGCAGCCGCGGUAAUACGUAGGGUGCGAGCGUUAAUCGGAAUUACUGGGCGUAAAGCGUGCGCAGGCGGUGAUGUAAGACCGAUGUGAAAUCCCCGGGCUUAACCUGGGAACUGCAUUGGUGACUGCAUCGCUGGAGUAUGGCAGAGGGGGGUAGAAUUCCACGUGUAGCAGUGAAAUGCGUAGAGAUGUGGAGGAAUACCGAUGGCGAAGGCAGCCCCCUGGGCCAAUACUGACGCUCAUGCACGAAAGCGUGGGGAGCAAACAGGAUUAGAUACCCUGGUAGUCCACGCCCUAAACGAUGUCAACUGGUUGUCGGGCCUUCAUUGGCUUGGUAACGUAGCUAACGCGUGAAGUUGACCGCCUGGGGAGUACGGUCGCAAGAUUAAAACUCAAAGGAAUUGACGGGGACCCGCACAAGCGGUGGAUGAUGUGGAUUAAUUCGAUGCAACGCGAAAAACCUUACCUACCCUUGACAUGUACGGAAUUCUGCCGAGAGGUGGAAGUGCCCGAAAGGGAGCCGUAACACAGGUGCUGCAUGGC